AUUGAACGCUGGCGGCAGGCCUAACACAUGCAAGUCGAGCGGAUGAACGGAGCUUGCUCCUGGAUUCAGCGGCGGACGGGUGAGUAAUGCCUAGGAAUCUGCCUGGUAGUGGGUUAUAACGUCCUGAAACGGGCGCUAAAACCGCAUACGUCCUGAGGGAGAAAGUGGGGGAUCUUCGGACCUCACGCUAUCAGAUGAGCCUAGGUCGGAUUAGCUAGUUGGUGGGGUAAAGGCCUACCAAGGCGACGAUCCGUAAAUGAUCUGAGAGGAUGAUAAGUCACACUGGAACUGAGACACGGUCCAGACUCCUACGGGAGGCAGCAGUGGGGAAUAUUGGACAAUGGGCGAAAGCUUGAUCCAGCCAUGCCGAGUGUGUGAAGAAGGUCUUCGGAUUGUAAAGCCCUUUAAGUUGGGAGGAAGGGCAGUAAGUUAAUACCUUGCUGUUUUGACGUUACCAACAGAAUAAGCACCGGCUAACUUCGUG
rnacentral:rRNA from 1 species